rnacentral:tRNA from 1 species
AGAGAUUUAGGCUAACAUUUUAAACUAAGAGCCUUCAAAGCUUUAGAUAAGAGUGAGAAUCUCUUAAUCUCUG